rnacentral:rRNA from 1 species
AUGCUAGCAUGUUCUGUUAUGCCUUUAAAUUCAAUUAGGCACAAGAGAUCCCUGAUGCUCAAAAUAAUUACUCCAAUAGGCAUCAUGGUGUCACUUGCUAUGGUUAUAUUUGUUUUAUUUCAUUGGAGAGGAAAACACAAGAGGAAUUCCAUAUCACUGCCGUCAUUUGCUACAACAUUUCCCAAAGUUUCUUUCAACGACCUAGCCAAAGCAACACAUGGAUUCUCAGCGUCCAACCUAAUUGGCAGAGGGAGUUAUAGUUCUGUAUACCUAGGAAAACUAGUGGAAUAUGAAAAUGAGGUUGCCAUAAAAGUCUUCAACCUAGAGACAAGAGGAGCGCAAAAGAGCUUCAUUGCAAAUUGUAAUGUGUUGAGAAAUGUGCGGCACCGUAAUCUGGUCCACAUCAUAACUGCAUGCUCAACCAUUGAUUCUAAUGGCAAUGAUUUCAAGGCUCUAGUGUAUGAGCUCAUGCCACGAGGAGACUUACAUAAACUACUAUACUCAACUGGACAGUAUGAAAGCUCUUCAGAUUUGAUCCUCAUUGCGAUGGCUCAAAGGGUAAGUAUUGUGGUGGACGUAGCGGAUGCACUGGAGUAUGUACACCAUAACAACCAAGAAACAAUGAUUCAUUGUGAUUUGAAGCCUAGCAACAUUCUUUUGGAUGACAGUAUGACAGCUCAUGUUGGAGACUUUGGCCUGGCAAGAUUCAAAGUUGGUUCCACAAUGUCAUCUCUUGGUAACUCCAACUAUUUUUCUGUUGCAGUCAUGGGGACAAUUGGAUAUGCCGCUCCAGAAUAUGCGGGGGCGGUCAAGUUUCAACCGCCGCGGAUGUUUACAGCUUUGGUGUUGUUCUCCUCGAGAUAUUCAUUCGAAGAAGGCCUACUGAUGACAUAUUUAAGGAUGGACUCAACAUUGUGA